rnacentral:rRNA from 1 species
UACGUAGGGUGCAAGCGUUAAUCGGAAUUACUGGGCGUAAAGCGUGCGCAGGCGGUUUUGUAAGUCUGAUGUGAAAUCCCCGGGCUCAACCUGGGAAUUGCAUUGGAGACUGCAAGGCUUGAAUCUGGCAGAGGGGGGUAGAAUUCCACGUGUAGCAGUGAAAUGCGUAGAGAUGUGGAGGAACACCGGUGGCGAAGGCGACCACCUGGACUGAUACUGACACUGAGGUGCGAAAGCGUGGGGAGCAAACAGG